rnacentral:rRNA from 1 species
UUAUUCUAGAGUUUGAUCAUGGCUCAGAUUGAACGCUGGCGGCAGGCUUAACACAUGCAAGUCGAGCGGGGAAAAGUAGCUUGCUACUUAACUUAGCGGCGGACGGGUGAGUAAUACUUAGGAAUCUACCUAAUAGUGGGGGACAACAUUUCGAAAGGGAUGCUAAUACCGCAUACGCCCUACGGGGGAAAGCAGGGGAUCUUCGGACCUUGCGCUAAUAGAUGAGCCUAAGUCGGAUUAGCUAGUUGGUGGGGUAAAGGCCUACCAAGGCGACGAUCUGUAGCGGGUCUGAGAGGAUGAUCCGCCACACUGGGACUGAGACACGGCCCAGACUCCUACGGGAGGCAGCAGUGGGGAAUAUUGGACAAUGGGGGGAACCCUGAUCCAGCCAUGCCGCGUGUGUGAAGAAGGCCUUUUGGUUGUAAAGCACUUUAAGCGAGGAGGAGGCUCCCAGUAUUAAUACUACUGGAGAGUGGACGUUACUCGCAGAAUAAGCACCGGCUAACUCUGUGCCAGCAGCCGCGGUAAUACAGAGGGUGCAAGCGUUAAUCGGAUUUACUGGGCGUAAAGCGUGCGUAGGUGGCCAAUUAAGUCAGAUGUGAAAUCCCCGAGCUUAACUUGGGAAUUGCAUUCGAUACUGGUUGGCUAGAGUAUGGGAGAGGAUGGUAGAAUUCCAGGUGUAGCGGUGAAAUGCGUAGAGAUCUGGAGGAAUACCGAUGGCGAAGGCAGCCAUCUGGCCUAAUACUGACACUGAGGUACGAAAGCAUGGGGAGCAAACAGGAUUAGAUACCCUGGUAGUCCAUGCCGUAAACGAUGUCUACUAGCCGUUGGGGUCUUUGAGACUUUAGUGGCGCAGCUAACGCGAUAAGUAGACCGCCUGGGGAGUACGGCCGCAAGACU